rnacentral:rRNA from 1 species
ACGGCUCAGUAACACGUAGUCAACAUACCCAGGGGACGUGGAUAACCUCGGGAAACUGAGGAUAAACCGCGAUAGGCCAAGAUUUCUGGAAUGGAUCAUGGCUGAAACCUACAUGGCCCCUGGAUUGGACUGCGGCCGAUCAGGCUGUUGGUGAGGUAAUGGCCCACCAAACCUGUAACCGGUACGGGCUCUGAGAGGAGGAGCCCGGAGAUGGGCACUGAGACAAGGGCCCAGGCCCUAUGGGGCGCAGCAGGCGCGAAACCUCUGCAAUAGGCGAAAGCUUGACAGGGUUACUCUGAGUGAUGCCCGUUAAGGGCAUCUUUUGGCACUUCUAAAAAUAGUGUAGAAUAAGGGGUGGGCAAGUCUGGUGUCAGCCGCCGCGGUAAUACCAGCACCCCGAGUGGUCGGGACGAUUAUUGGGCCUAAAGCAUCCGUAGCCGGUUCUGCAAGUCUUCCGUUAAAUCCACCUGCUCAACAGAUGGGCUGCGGGGGAUACUACAGGGCUAGGAGGCGGGAGAGGCAAGCGGUACUCGGUGGGUAGGGGUAAAAUCCUCUGAUCCACCGAAGACCACCAGUGGCGAAGGCGGCUUGCCAGAACGCGCUCGACGGUGAGGGAUGAAAGCUGGGGGAGUAAACCGGAUUAGAUACCCGGGUAGUCCCAGCUGUAAACGAUGCAGACUCGGUGAUGGGUUGGCUUUGAGCCAACCCAGUGCCGCAGGGAAGCCGUUAAGUCUGCCGCCUGGGGAGUACGGUCGCAAGACUGAAACUUAAAGGAAUUGGCGGGGGAGCAC